rnacentral:rRNA from 1 species
UACGUAGGGGGCAAGCGUUGUCCGGAAUCAUUGGGCGUAAAGCGCGUGUAGGCGGCUCGGUAAGUCCGCUCUGAAAGUCCAGGGCUCAACCCUGGGAUGCGGGUGGAUACUGCCGGGCUCGAGUCCGGAAGAGGCGAGUGGAAUUCCCGGUGUAGCGGUGAAAUGCGCAGAUAUCAGGAAGAACACCAAUGGCGAGGGCAGCUCUCUGGGCCGUAACUGACGCUGAGGAGCGAAAGCAUGGGGAGCGAACAGG